AAGCUCUCCAUCUCCAUCUCCCCUCACGGUGUAAUUCAUUCUUUUUCCUUGUGUACCCUCAAUCCCCAGAUAGAACGAUCCCUACUUACUUAUACUACUAACGAUAUUUUCAGGGUUAAAUUAUGCGCUCGCUCAAAGCGCAUCAUCUCCGGCGAGUAGAAACCAUCACUCACGUCAACCAGCGACGUCUGCAAGUGACCCAUGGGCCGACGCCAACGGUACUAAGAUCUGAUUUGGACACCCCAAAUCAAUCUCCUUCCUCACUCCUCCAUCCAUAGCACGACGCCAUGAAGAACUCAUUCCUCGCAUCCUCAACCUAUUCUUCACUUGAGCUUCGAACCCAAGUCGGAGCUCACUCCAAAUUCCUUUUCCGGUCGCUCAAGUUCCCCGACUUCUGCCGCUUCCUCAACUCGGCGAUAUCCCGGAGGAAAUCGUUGGUCUGCCCCUCUGUCAUGUCGGAGUCGACCUCGAACUUGCCGGUCUUCAACACUCUUGCACAUUAAACCACCUCCUCCAUUUUCUUCACUAAAAUCCCACCGCUUCUUCUUCCCAGUUCUUCCCACAAAAAUCCCAAUCCCAAAAAGCCCUGUUCUUAUUGUAGUCGUUUCAUUACUGUGUUUGUAAAAUGGGUUUGGAUUAGAUUUCUUCUCAUUAUACUUGCCUUGUAAAUGCUAGUUGCUUUCAGGAUUGCAUAAAAUUUUUGCAGAUAGAUGAAUAGAGUUUGAUGAAGGUCGGGAGUGGAAGGUCUCAAGGGUCAGGGCACAGCUGUGGAAGUUCCGCAGGAGGAGGGAGGUUUGAGUAGUUUAGGUGGGUGUACCUUUGGGGGUGAAUUAGACCCAUUCGGAAGGGUGUUGUUAGGCCUGCAUU